UAUGAAUUCUUUUGGAGAAAUAAAUUCAUAUAUUAUCACUAGGUCUGUUUUUUUUUGUUCUCAGAUUCUUCUAAAUAUACAUGUUGUUUUCAUUAACAAGAUUGUUGGAUACAAAUUUGUGCUUCAAAUUUGUGAUAUAGAUCGAUACCGAAGAUUAAACAUUUUAAGAAUCCACUAAAGUUUGCUAAUGGACGUGCUUUAUUAUCAACUACUCUAGCAGCCAAAAUCCUCCCAGAUGCUUCAACAAAUCACUCACAAUUUCAUGAAGUCCAACAACAACAACAAGAUCAUGUUCUUCCCCAAGAAGAACAAGUUUUAAUUCCCCCACAACAAGAAGAAGCUCCAGUUCCCCCGUAGCAAGAACAUGCUCCAAUUCUGCCUUCUAAUUCAAGUGCAACAUCUAUUCGUCAGCGUUCAUCUCCAAAAUAUUGGAGAGUAGAGACCGAAGUUUUGAGAAGUGGUCGAGACCAUCGGGCAUGCCUAAGAAAUACAUGGAAGACUUCUUUGAAACAAUACUAAAGUCUCGUUUUCUUUUUCGGUCAAGUGAGUCUAUUGCAUACAGGUAUUGUAAUGCUAGUAUUUCAAAGAAGUGGGCUACACACAACAGAGGUUAUGAAAUGAAUAUUUUGACCCAACCAAAAGGAAAAAUGAGAUUAUUAGUAUGUACCAACUGGUAUAACUAAAGAUCAAUGGGCUAAUUUUGUUGCAUACCGCCUGAAACCAUCAACAAUCGAGCUUUGUAGAAGAAAUAAGGAAAUUCAAAGGAAGCAAACAAUGCCAUACACUGGUGGUUCAAAAGCUAACUCGAGAAGUUUCUGGAAACUGGAAAAGCUCCUAGCCGCGGAAUAAUAUUUAUUGAAACUCAUAAGAGAAAGAACAAAUCAUUUGUGAAUGAUAAGGCUCAACCUAUAGCGGUAAGUAUAGCAUCAAUACAUUUUUUUUUUUUACUUAAUUUCAUUGUUACUGUAAAAUUUUUUUUAUGUCAAGUCUCACUAUUUUGUUCUUACUAUUGAUAUUAUAUGCUUUAGGAGUGAAUUGAAUUAAAUAUGACUUAGUGUAGUAUCAAUGAGUUUAAUGUUUCCCCUGAAGAUAUUAUUGGCAAGAUAUUAGGGGCAGAGCACUCCGGAAGAGUAAGAUGUAUGGGCAUGGGAGCAGCUCCAUAAACACAUUCGUGAAUACCAAGCGAUGUAGUGAGUUGAGCAUGUCUUCAUCUAGAUAUGGUGAAUCAUCAACAACUUCUACCUAUUUGCAUCAAAAGUUUACGCGUUUCGAGUCUCAAUUGGAAGUAACCCCGAAUGUGCUGAAGAAUUACAUGAUAUCAAAGGAAGGAGGGAUUCCUGAAGAAUUUGCUCGUCUGUUUGCUCCUCAACCACAGAUGAACUCCGUGCUACAGCAGUACACGUUACUUGGUAACUUCAUCGUACUUGCAGAACUACUGUCAUGAUUAAUUCCUGUUAAUUCUAACCUCAAAAAAUCAACGAGAACUUUGAUCAUAUUCAGAUUAUCAGAACCCUAUCAUUGUUGGAAAACUUCCAAUCCAGUGGAUUUGAACAAGGAAAUCAGCAUUGGUUGUGGUGUCUGUCGCAUCACUUCAUUUUGCUGGUUUCUUUGUUUGGUAAGAUUAUCUUUUUUUUUCAAUCUAUUGGCCAUAUUUAGCAUCCAUGUGAUGUCAUAUGAUGAGAUCAUCAUCAGGUAUCUUUCUGCUGUUUUGGCUGGUUUUCGCAACCUCAAAAAUGAGCUGUAUCCAUCGAGGUGGGCAUGCAAAAUUCUGUCUUGGGCGUGGUUUUAGCAACCUCCCAUUUCUCCUCACCAGCAGUUGCAUGACCUGCAGCAACUUCAGCGAUCAUUAUGAAUGUAAUGGGUAGUUUUUUUAGGUUUCUUUUGGAGAUGUAUUAACCCUACUCAACCAAAGAGUAGUUUUGAACUGACCGAUAAAUCAUGAAUAUUCAUGUUGAGAUAUUCUGUUCUUUUUCUUCCCAUUGUACACCCAUCGAUAAAUUUUUGUUUUCGCCAUUCUCUGUGCUCAAUUUAGAGGCCCUAGGAAGGUCGGAAACUCAUCAAUUGCAUGCUGGAUAAGUCUAACUGAUCUAACUAUGCGUUAUUAUAGAACCUUCAUAAAGCAUCUAGGAAUUAACAUUUGAACUUCCACAAUCCACAUAUUUUCCUUAACUUAGCUUCUUAUAUUGGCUACUGGAUUCCAGUUCUCUCCGGUCCGUGAAGAUUACUUUGUUGAGAAGAGGUUAUUAGGGAAGUACAAGGGUAAUCCGAUGCACUAAGCUCGUAACCCUUUAUGGUUUCACAUCAAAGCACAACCGUGAACUACUCCUUUAUUUAUGAAUACAUUCCCAAUGGAACAGUGGUAGAUCACUUGACUGGUGAUAGAGCAAAGGACAGAUUCCUUUCAUGGCCUAUCCGGAUGAAUAUUGUUGUAGAAACUGCUAGUGCAUUGGCUUACCUCCAUGCUUAUGACAUAAUACAUCGUGAUGUGAAGACCAGCAAAAUACUCCUUAACAACAAUUGUCGUGUCAAAUUUGCAGAUUUUGGGCUUUCGAGACUGUCCUCGAAUGAUGCUACUCAUGUCUCAACUGCUCCUCAAGGGACAGCAGGAUAUGUUGAUCCAGAGUAUCAUGAAUGUUACCAGCUCACUGAAAAAACUGAUUUUUAUAGUUUUGGGGUUAUCCUCAUUGAAUCUCAUCCCCCACAAAGGUGGUGGUAAGUUCUGUAGUUCAGACACUUUUAACUCCCAACCUCACACAGUGAUAUUCAAGGGAAGAAGAGAUAACACUAAGCAAGAUGUAACGAUAUCAUGGAGCUGAUACAGAACCUGCAGUUUUGGUCAGGAGUUCAAUAUUGACAUUAAAUGGAGCAACAGAGGAGGUCCAGUGAAUUACCGAAACAUGUAUCCUGUAGAGAGUACAUUGAGGAUAUUGAGACAAGAUUCAAUAGACCUAGGAGUGUCCGUGAUGACACAAAUGACAUUGAGCCUUCUGGAAUGUCUACUCUCUUCCCUCAAUUAGGUAAACCUGCGUCAGCUGCGGAAAAUUACGAUUUAACUCCUAUGUCGAAACUACAAGCUCAUCGAUAUGUGCUUCUAAAUUGUGCAAUAGUCACCCCAUUUGUGGAGUGAGUAACUCUUAAAAACAGUAUGUUCUGUGUCAUUGCAAUGUUUGAAGUAGGUUAGUUAUGCUCUUUACUAUUAAAUUAAUUGUUUCAUAUAGCGAAUUUAGACAACACAUAAGGAGGAGUUCAAGAGAAAGAAGACCUUCACCAACAGGGAUAGAGAGAAGAGUUAAUAAAGAGUUUCUCGAUUGGUUCCACAAGCGGGUAAGUAAGUAAUAAUCAGUUGUUAUUUAUAUUUGAUUGGAAUGAGAAAAUCUGACUAAGUCAAUUUUAUUUUAAUUUAGAUUAUGAUUCCAGACACAAUAGAUACAAUGUCUAUUGAUCUAAAGUUUUUAGCACGAGGUCCAUGUACAAAUUCAAGAAGGUUUACUGCAUAUAACAUC